ACACGUCUACAUUAGAUACCCGCGUAGUCCCAGCCGUAAACUAUGCGCGUUAGGUGUAUCGGUGACCACGAGUCACCGAGGUGCCGAAGGGAAACCGUGAAACGUGCCGCCUGGGAAGUACGGUCGCAAGGCUGAAACUUAAAGGAAUUGGCGGGGAGCGCCACAACGGGUGGAGCCUGCGGUUUAAUUGGACUCAACGCCGGGAAGCUCACCGGAUAAGACAGCGGAAUGAUUGCCGGGCUGAAGACUCUGCAUGACUAGCUG
rnacentral:rRNA from 1 species